AUGGUGUCCCCGUGCCUCUGCCACCACCUGCUGGUGUACGCGCGCCGUGAAGCACGGUAUGCGGAGGCAACACCCCCCUCGGGACCGCACACUUCCAGCGCUGCCACGCCGAGGAGCUGGUGUCCAACAACGGCGCCCCAAUGUAGAGGGGUCGCCACAACUUGGACGGCUGGCGUCAAUGGUUGGGCGCGCCGGGGCGGACUCUCUCCGCCGUGCUCGCUCACAUCCAGGGCGACGACGAGCCGCGGCUGGAAGAGGCCUCGCCUGGCUACGUGCAGGAGGAGAUGGACCGCCAGCGCCGCGCUCUUGAAGAAAUCGUCGUGCGGCGCCGCGGCCGCGAUAAACGAUUCUUGUACUACCUCACCAAAUGAGCUGAUCCAGUUUGAUCCACCCGAGCUAAGCUUCCCUUGCCUGAACAAGACGUCACUCUCCUCAGUUAAUAUAAUCAACAUUACAGAUUGCUACAUUGGUUUCAAUUGUUGGAACUUCACGGAGUUUUCUGCGUGCCACGACAGACAGCCCCGUCAAGGAAUUCUUGCACCGCGGUCCACUCAGAGAAUGGUUGUACAAUGUGUACCCAAGGAAAAUGAACCAGUAGAGGACAUGCAUUGCAAAAAAAGCAUAUUCGUGUGGAACAUGAUUGUGGCUCAAGGUGUUGAAUCCAGCAGCUUGGAGGAUCAAUGCAGUGAUGAAGACAGUAAGGAGCUGCCCUUCAUUUUUAACAAUGAUUCCCACUCCCACAUGCCAUCCCCCGUAGGAUUUAGAUUAGCUGAUAAGCAGCCCAUGUACCUCAACCUCAACCUCAGGAGACGAGCUGCUGAUCCGCCCAGAGAAGAUGCGGCCGUGACCCACCGUACACAUACUGAAGUAGGAAUUUUGGCACCACGGUCUGAUCAAAGACUCGUCGUAGCAAGGCUAAUAAAUGAAAAGGAACCACAAGACACAACAUACAACGACGACAAGCAGCUCUUAAUAUGGAAUGCCAUUGUCAGUGAAGGCGUCAAAGUCAGCGACCUUGAUUGUUCCAUAUGUCUCCAGAUAGAGAAGAGUAUCGAGUUGCCCUUGAUUUUUGAUAAGAUAACUUCAUCUACAUCAGUUGAGCUGAUCAAGUUUGAACCCCCCCAAGUCUGUUUCCCCUUCCUGCCGAGCAAACGUCUGUUAUCUCCAUUUAAGAUAGUCAACGUUACAGAUUAUCACAUUGGUUUCGGUACACGAGUUGAGGAAACAAAUGUGGCGUUGUACAUCACGGUGCCACCAUAUGGAAUCCUGCCACCACGGUCGACACAAGAACUGGUGGUAACAAGGGUCGCCAAGAAAGAGGCACCGGAACUGGAAGACAUGCAGUGCAAAGAUAAAUACUUUGUGUGGAGCUGCUUUGUGACUCAAGAUGUCAACGCCAGCGAACUCACAAGAUAUAUGCCCCAAAGUGAGAGAAGGGAGCUGCCCAUAAUUUUUACGGAGACAAGCUCAAACGAGUUGGUUCAGUUUGAUCCUCCCGAGCUCAGCUUUCCUCUGUUGCCAAACCAGAGAGUCUUGUCGUCAACUAAGAUAGUCAAUAUUGCAGAUCAGUACAUCGGUUUCAGAGUAUGCACCAAGAAAAGCAAUUCAGCAAGGUACAACACAAAUCCGGCGGAAGGAAUUUUGCCACCGCUGUCCACGCAAGUAAUCCUGGUAACAAGGAUAGCAGGGGAAAAUGAACUAGAAGAGACACAGUGCAACGGCAAGUUUUUGGUGUGGAGCGGCAUUGUGACUGAAGAUACGAAAGCCAGCGAUGUUAUUGACAACAUGUCCGAGACAAAGUGUACCGGUUUGCCCAUUGUUCUUACACAGACAAGUUCAUCUAUCUCAGAGGAGUUGAUCCAAUUUGAUCCACCAGAACUUCACUUUCCCAUUUUGCCAAACAAGAAGGUGUUGUCCUCAAUUGAGGUAGUGAACCUUACAGAUUACAAUGUUGGUUUCAAUACAUAUAGCAGGCCAACAAAUGUGGCAUGGUACCACACAGAGCCACCGAGAGGAAUCCUGCCGCCACGAUCCACUCAAAAACUUAUGGUAACAAGAGAAGAAAAGGAAGAUGCAUUGAAAUAUAAGCAGCUCAAUGAAAAGUACUUUGUGUGGACAGGCAUUGUAUCUGAAUGUGUCAAAGACAGCGAGCUUAGUGAUUGCAUGGCUGAACAAGAGAGCAAAGAGUUGCCCAUUGUUCUUGACAAGCAAACAACUCUGACUCCACCACAAACAACCAUCGACAAAGCCCACACGGCAAAGGUCAUGCGAAGUCAUGAAGAUCACAGCCAAGCAAUCAGCCACACGCAAUGGAGGCAAUGCAGCUCCGAUUAUGAGAAGAGCUAUGGAUGGAGAUAUGCAUGGUUGGUGCCGUGGAAGAUCACUGAACAGACCACCUGUCGCUUGUCACCAUCACUACAUGGACUCUGCCGCCACAACAAACAACCCGAGACAAUCUGGCCGACAUGUUGA
rnacentral:rRNA from 1 species